UACGUAGGGGGCAAGCGUUGUCCGGAAUCAUUGGGCGUAAAGAGCGUGUAGGCGGCUCGAUAAGUCUGCUGUGAAAGUCCAGGGCUCAACCCUGGAAGGCCGGUGGAAACUGUCGGGCUAGAGUCCGGAAGAGGCGAGUGGAAUUCCCGGUGUAGCGGUGAAAUGCGCAGAUAUCGGGAGGAACACCAAUGGCGAAGGCAGCUCGCUGGGACGGUACUGACGCUGAGGCACGAAAGCGUGGGGAGCAAACAGG
rnacentral:rRNA from 1 species